rnacentral:rRNA from 1 species
AUUGAACGCUGGCGGCAUGCCUUACACAUGCAAGUCGAACGGUAACGCGGGGCAACCCGGCGACGAGUGGCGAACGGGUGAGUAAUGUAUCGGAACGUGCCCAGUAGUGGGGGAUAGCCCGGCGAAAGCCGGAUUAAUACCGCAUGAGACCUGAGGGUGAAAGCGGGGGAUCGCAAGACCUCGUGCUAUUGGAGCGGCCGAUAUCAGAUUAGGUAGUUGGUGGGGUAAAAGCCUACCAAGCCGACGAUCUGUAGCUGGUCUGAGAGGACGACCAGCCACACUGGGACUGAGACACGGCCCAGACUCCUACGGGAGGCAGCAGUGGGGAAUUUUGGACAAUGGGCGCAAGCCUGAUCCAGCCAUGCCGCGUGCGGGAAGAAGGCCUUCGGGUUGUAAACCGCUUUUGUCAGGGAAGAAAUCUUCUGGGUUAAUACCUCGGGAGGAUGACGGUACCUGAAGAAUAAGCACCGGCUAACUACGUGCCAGCAGCCGCCGUAACAC